rnacentral:rRNA from 1 species
CCUACGGGAGGCAGCAGUGAGGAAUAUUGGUCAAUGGGCGCGAGCCUGAACCAGCCAAGUCGCGUGAAGGAUGAAUGUCCUACGUAUUGUAAACUUCUUUUAUCAAGGAAUAAAGUGAGACCCGUGUACCUUUUUGUAUGUACCCUAUGAAUAAGGAUCGGCUAACUCCGUGCCAGCAUCCGCGGUAAUACUGAGGAUACGAGCGUUAUCCGGGUUUAUUUGGUUUAAAGGGUGCGGAGGGGGGUAGUUAAGUCAUGUGUAAAAUUUUGGGGCUCAAACCCAAAAUGGCAGUUGAAAAUGGUUGUCUUGAGUAGAGUUGAGGUAGGCGGAAUUCGUGGUGUAGCGGUGAAAUGCUGAGAUAUCACGAAGAACUCCGAUUGCGAAGGCAGCCUACUAAAUUGCUACUGACAUUGAGGCACGAAAGUGUGGGGAUCAAACAGGAUUAGAUACCCGGGUAGUC